UUAAAGGAGAAGAAUAGGCUACAACGACCAAGAGCUAACAGAUGUCAUCUUUUAGAAGAAAACAAGCUACGCUGGUUUACGGAGACCUGACCAGAGGUGUGAUAGUACAUACACUCCUGGAAAACAGACAGGAAAACGCUGCACAUUGCUGCUCAUGCUCUCAGGUCACAGAUGGUACCAGAUAUGUGACUGGUAGCAGGCUUGCUGACGGAGAACAAAUUAAGUUUGUGGUCUUGCCUACAAAAGUUUGGGAAGAUCACAAAAGAGAUGACACCAGCUCAUCGUGUUGACACCCUCAUUGAUUCCCUCCUCUAUUACUAAGCCAGGGUCAGGGCAAGCACUGGAAACACAACUCUGUCGGCAGAACGACCUGAAGGAGGAAACCGAGGCAAAGGAGGAGUUGAUGGUGCUGCUAGGCAGCAUUCCAGGAAAUUCGCCGUGGCACACGCACCUGCCACUCAUGACUCCUUUCGAUGCUCACCAAAAUGCUGUUUCCCUGGAUUGCAUUGUGAAAGCCUGACACUAUGGAUAAACCAUUGCUGUGCGGCUCUCCAGAAAUGUCAAGCGGAAAUAGCAGAGAAUAAAACACCAGAUCGACGCCGACAAUGGAAGGAACCUCAAAAAGACUGGAGUAUGUGGAUGUUCUCCAGCAAGACCAUCCAGUCUGGUCCCAGGUGUCCAACAGCUUGGGAGACAGUCUUUAUUUAUUUUUUAUUUUUUUACUCUUUAUAGUGUUUUAUUUACAUUUUAGAGUUGAUAAGUUGGACAAAUCGGGUGCUUGGGAGACAGUCUGCUACGGGCCAAGCAGCGUGUAGUGAUGCUACACAACAUGUGCCUUAGGGCAGCUGAAGAGAGGCACACCUACACAAUGACCUUUUUUAUUGCCAGAGAGAGCUGGGGCUUUUUGAAGAGGCCCUUGCUUCUCUUGGGCAGUGUGAGGCCGAGCCAACACGCUUUCACAUGGGUGCCUCUGUGCUGCUCCCAAAUAAAAUGCAGAACAGAUUGAACUUCCAGCAAGCAUUUACAAUGUUGGCUGGGGGUGGUAUGGUCAGGACUGAUGUAGAGGUGGUGGACAGUGACCCAGAGGAUGAAAGUGGUUAAGGAAUGACUGUUUGAAAUGGUAUCGUUUGAGUUGGAUAUUAUUAUUAUGUUGUAUUCCAGUUAUGAACUAUACUGAACUAAAACAUAAACGUAACAUGUAAAGUGUUGGUCCCAUGUUUCAUGAGCUGAAAUAAAAUAUUUCCCAUAUCCACAAAAGGCGUAUUUCUUUGCACAACUGAAGAAUUUCUGC